AGAGGAAAUUAGGAAAAAAAAAGAAAGGAAAAGAAAGUAGGAGUUGUACUGCUCCUAGUUUCCAAACACCAAAACCCACGUUUCACUUUACCUUUCUUUUCUUUCUUCUUCAAACUUUUGCUCCAACCAAAUACCUCCAUUGAAGCUACAAUUUUUAUCAUUUACCACCAUCAAACAUCAACUCUAUCCAUCCAUCUUAAUCAUAUCUUGAUUUUGGGAGUAUCUUGAAGAGGAGAAUCGAGUUUUGGCUUUGCGGUUUCGGGUCGUGAAUCAAUUCAAAGAGCGUUUUUUUGGGGUUCCUUGUAGAGAGUAAUUUCACCCUAUUACUUCCCUUAAUCAAAUUGCGGGUUCGUAGAGGAACCUUUCUGACUUGAGAUUGAGUUUUGUUAGCUGUGGUUGCUGAUAAGGGACUUGAAGAUAGUUAGCUCCAGUUGGGUUAAAGAGUGCGUUGGAUCCAUUUUGAUUUAAUAGCACUUUAAAAAGACUUCCGCUGUUAUUUAUUUAAAAGAUUUAUGUUCUGGGUUGUAAUUAGUAAUUUUUCAUUCUAUUUAGUUGGUGUGUAAUAAUUAGUUAAAACUUAUUGGUUAUUAUUUUAGUUUGAACCAUUAGCCUUGCGGUUAUUAUUAAUAAUUAUCGCGGCGUAGCACCUUUGGAUUUC